AACUCUACUAGACAGGUAUCUAUAUAUCUAACUCUACUAGACAGGUAUCUAUAUAUCUAACUCUACUAGACAGGUAUCUAUAUAUCUAACUCUACUAGACAGGUA